AUAGAAGACUCCCGAGCUCCGUUCUAGUUGGAGGAGAUGGUCAACGACAGAGAACACACCUGAAAGGCAGACCCUCGAUGCCCUAAGAGCCAGCAGAGCCACAGAGAUGCUUCUGAAAGUCUGGUCUCCGUCUCCACCCAUGACCACAGAACCUCCCACUCCUGCCUGACAACCACAAAGACUUUCUCAGCUACUUCCCCAGCCCCUGCUACCUGCUCUGGAUCUACCAAUAGCUCCUUUCUGAUGAGGUGUUGGAAUGUCAGCCCUACAUGGAAAUACAUCUCAGAUGCUUGGUCAUGUGCUCUCUGUUUGGAGAUGAUAUUUUUACUUUUCCAAUAACUCAUCCAGCACACUUCCCACACCUAGAAAUUUCCUGCUGCAAAUAAUAGACCUCCCCAGCCUCCUAAUUCUUUUUUUAUAAAAAUCCCAAAGCAGAGAAAGAGGCACUUCAUUACGAAAAUCUAGAAAAUCCAAAUAUGCAUGUUAAACCUCUCAGGAAGCUAAAACAGAACCACUCAGUUGCCAGGGAUGUUUUCCGACUUAAGCUUUGAAACCAUCCUUGGUCGCAGAUGCUGCCGUGAAAAAGUGAUUUUGUUUUAAAUAGCAGUGGGAUGAGAUAACGGCCUACAUUCAAGUCGCAUUAUAGCGUUAAAUCCUGUCUUCUCACCUCCGAGUGUAAUUAAUUGUUAUGACUCAGUAAUACAGCUUUUAGUUCAGAGUAUGAUGCUAUUUAAGGAGAAAAGGCUUCGGGGCUCUGUUGAUUUGGUUUUCAGUUGCCAGUUCCACUUUGCGAGCGGUUUUGGUAAAGUAGUAUUUAAACUCAGAGGACACCCCUAGUUUUGAUGACCUUUAUGUCAGGAAUCAGGAAUCUGGGGCCGGGGCAUGAGAGUGGAGGUGGAGCCUGGUAGGUGGCGAAAGGAAUGGGACAACUCUCCCACCAUCAGUUUUGCUCCCAAGCCUUUCCAUUCAGGAGGAACCUGCAAUAGAGGGUGAAUGAAACAGAGACACCUACUGGCCAGAGCC
rnacentral:lncRNA from 1 species